rnacentral:tRNA from 1 species
GAGGGUAUAGCUUAGUGGUAGAGUGCAUGCUUAGCAUGCAUAAGGUCCUGGAUUCAAUCCCCAGUACCUCCA